rnacentral:rRNA from 1 species
GACGAACGCUGGCGGCGUGCUUAACACAUGCAAGUCGAACGGAAAGGCCCUGCUUGCAGGGUACUCGAGUGGCGAACGGGUGAGUAACACGUGGGUGAUCUGCCCUGCACUUCGGGAUAAGCCUGGGAAACUGGGUCUAAUACCGGAUAGGAGCCAUUUUUAGUGUGAUGGUUGGAAAGUUUUUUCGGUGUAGGAUGAGCUCGCGGCCUAUCAGCUUGUUGGUGGGGUAAUGGCCUACCAAGGCGGCGACGGGUAGCCGGCCUGAGAGGGUGGACGGCCACAUUGGGACUGAGAGACGGCCCAGACUCCUACGGGAGGCAUCAGUGGGGAAUAUUGCACAAUGGGCGCAAGCCUGAUGCAGCGACGCCGCGUGGGGGAUGACGGCCUUCGGGUUGUAAACUCCUUUCGCUAGGGACGAAGCUUUUUGUGACGGUACCUAGAGAAGAAGCACCGGCUAACUACGUG